rnacentral:tRNA from 1 species
UGGGGUAUGGCCAAGUGGUAAGGCAGCGGUUUUUGAUAUCGUAAAUCAAAGGUUCGAAUCCUUUUACCCCAG